GGAAGGGUAUCACGUGAUUUUCGGGAGCCAAUGAAAAAAGCAGGAAUUUUACACUCCGUUAUAGGUAAACAAAAUGGCACGUUCGACGCACCGGGGAGGAUCGUUUAUUUAGGAGGCAUGCACAUAAAUUUGUAAUGUUGCUCAUUUAUUUGUUGACAAAAAGUGCCGAUGGCACCCGAUGGGACCCCUGGAUCUUUAGAGAUAUAGACGCAUGGACUACAAUUUUUAUUUUUGAAAUGCUGUGCACUAUAAAGGGAAUGGAAACAGCUUAUAACCUCAUAAUGGGAUACCGCCUAUGGAUUGUAGCUGAAAUUAGAGACUUGAGAUAACAGGAAUGAUGUUUGUUAUUUCCAAAAUCUGUGCCUUCAUGGAGUGUGACAUUGUAAUAAACAUGAUUGCUUUUUAAUUACUCAGUCAUCAAAUGUUAAAUUAGUAGUUUGUCACAAUAUCAAAUAUUGUAUUAUCUGCAUAGAGAAUUCCCCUCAUCUUUUGUAAGUUAAGUUUUGAUUAAUUAAGUAAAGUGAGUAGUAAGUCUCAUGAACUUGGAGAAAAUUAAAUACUGCAGAUCUUGGAAAAAACUUCGUUUAUUGUGAUUUCUGUCAGAUAUGAGGAUUUGUAAAUGUUGAUAAUACAUUACAUUUUCUGUCUCUUAUUAUAUGCAUUUACCAUGAUUUCUCACUCUGAGUAAUGUACGCAUCUGGCAAACUAACUUGAAAUUCAAGGCAUAUUUUAUAGUUUUAAAAAAAGUGAUAUUAAAAUCUGACCAAGACGAAUUUAAAGUAAUCUGAAUUCUAUCAGGAUUUCAGUCUUGCCUGUGCUAUGUAUGUAUUUGUAGGUUGUCACCCUUUUAAAUCAUUUAA